rfam:Schistosoma mansoni strain Puerto Rico chromosome 4, complete genome
ACCAAGCUGACGAGUUUCAAAUAGGACGAAACACCCGUCCUGGAU